AUUGAACGCUGGCGGCAUGCCUUACACAUGCAAGUCGAACGGUAACGGGCCUUCGGGUGCCGACGAGUGGCGGACGGGUGAGUAAUACAUCGGAACGUGCCCGAUCGUGGGGGAUAACGAGGCGAAAGCUUUGCUAAUACCGCAUACGAUCUACGGAUGAAAGCCGGGGACCGCAAGGCCUUGCGCGGACGGAGCGGCCGAUGGCAGAUUAGGUAGUUGGUGGGAUAAAAGCUUACCAAGCCGACGAUCUGUAGCUGGUCUGAGAGGAUGAUCAGCCACACUGGGACUGAGACACGGCCCAGACUCCUACGGGAGGCAGCAGUGGGGAAUUUUGGACAAAGGGCGCAAGCCUGAUCCAGCCAUGCCGCGUGCAGGAUGAAGGCCUUCGGGUUGUAAACUGCUUUUGUACGGAACGAAAAGCCUUCUUUUAAUACAGGAGGGUCAUGACGGUACCGGAAGAAUAAGCACCGGCUAACUACGUG
rnacentral:rRNA from 1 species